UACGAAGGGGCUAGCGUUGCUCGGAAUGACUGGGCGUAAAGGGCGCGUAGGCGGAUGGCACAGUCAGAUGUGAAAACUUCCCGGGGCUUAACCUGGGGCGUGCAUUUGAUACGUGUUGUCUUGAGUUCGGAAGAGGGCGUGGGAAUUCCCAGUGUAGAGGUGGAAAUUCGAUAGAUAUUGGGAAGAACACCGGUGGCGAAGGCGGCGACCUGGUCC
rnacentral:rRNA from 1 species